rnacentral:rRNA from 2 species
AGAGUUUGAUCCUGGUCUCAGAUUGAACGCUGGCGGCAUGCCUUACACAUGCAAGUCGAACGGCAGCACGGGGGCAACCCUGGUGGCGAGUGGCGAACGGGUGAGUAAUACAUCGGAACGUGUCCUGUAGUGGGGGAUAGCCCGGCGAAAGCCGGAUUAAUACCGCAUACGACCUAAGGGAGAAAGCGGGGGAUCUUCGGACCUCGUCGCUAUAGGGGCGGCCGAUGGCAGAUUAGCUAGUUGGUGGGGUAAAGGCCUACCAAGGCGACGAUCUGUAGCUGGUCUGAGAGGACGACCAGCCACACUGGGACUGAGACACGGCCCAGACUCCUACGGGAGGCAGCAGUGGGGAAUUUUGGACAAUGGGGGAAACCCUGAUCCAGCAAUGCCGCGUGUGUGAAGAAGGCCUUCGGGUUGUAAAGCACUUUUGUCCGGAAAGAAAACCUCUUGGAAUAAUACCUGAGGGGGAUGACGGUACCGGAAGAAUAAGCACCGGCUAACUACGUGCCAGCAGCCGCGGUAAUACGUAGGGUGCGAGCGUUAAUCGGAAUUACUGGGCGUAAAGCGUGCGCAGGCGGUUUGUUAAGACAGAUGUGAAAUCCCCGGGCUUAACCUGGGAACUGCAUUUGUGACUGGCAAGCUAGAGUAUGGCAGAGGGGGGUAGAAUUCCACGUGUAGCAGUGAAAUGCGUAGAGAUGUGGAGGAAUACCGAUGGCGAAGGCAGCCCCCUGGGCCAAUACUGACGCUCAUGCACGAAAGCGUGGGGAGCAAACAGGAUUAGAUACCCUGGUAGUCCACGCCCUAAACGAUGUCAACUAGUUGUUGGGGAUUCAUUUCCUUAGUAACGUAGCUAACGCGUGAAGUUGACCGCCUGGGGAGUACGGUCGCAAGAUUAAAACUCAAAGGAAUUGACGGGGACCCGCACAAGCGGUGGAUGAUGUGGAUUAAUUCGAUGCAACGCGAAAAACCUUACCUACCCUUGACAUGGUCGGAACCCUGCUGAAAGGUGGGGGUGCUCGAAAGAGAACCGGCGCACAGGUGCUGCAUGGCUGUCGUCAGCCCGUGUCGUGAGAUGUUGGGUUAAGUCCCGCAACGAGCGCAACCCUUGUCCUUAGUUGCUACGCAAGAGCACUCUAAGGAGACUGCCGGUGACAAACCGGAGGAAGGUGGGGAUGACGUCAAGUCCUCAUGGCCCUUAUGGGUAGGGCUUCACACGUCAUACAAUGGUCGGAACAGAGGGUCGCUAAGCCGCGAGGUGGAGCCAAUCCCAGAAAACCGAUCGUAGUCCGGAUCGCAGUCUGCAACUCGACUGCGUGAAGCUGGAAUCGCUAGUAAUCGCGGAUCAGCAUGCCGCGGUGAAUACGUUCCCGGGCCUUGUACACACC